GGUCUUUGCAGUGAUGGGCGUUACCAGAGAGGGCGAUGGCCAGAGGACACAAAUGGGACGGGAAGGCAGCACGUUGGGGGGUGGGGGUGGGGGGGGGGGACGCGACACGGCUCGGGCCCGCCAGUGCCCCAACGGGGUCCUAGUUAUUAUUUUUCCUCCCCUUUGAACUGGAAAAUGGCCCACUUCCCACUGGCGAAAACUCAUGAAAUUUGGCAGGACGACCGGGCCUGGUGAAAAAUUUGAUAUUCCGAAGUCGCCCAAACAAGAAAAUGCAAAAUGGCUCCAUAGCGCCCCCUAAGGUGAAAAUUCACACUAUUCACUGUCACGCCUGUACGCUUUGUCAAAAUGACACAAAAAUUGACACACACAUGUAUCUCAAUAAGAUCUACAAAAAAGUCAGUGCGGGCGUAUCUGUCAAAUGUACGGUUAAAGGGUUAUUUCGCAUUUUUUUCCGAUCCGCACACAUUGGAAUUUCGCUAACUCCUCCGAAGGCUUUCGUUCCACCGGCACCACAUUUGCUCAGGCCAAUCUACACCCCAUGGCCAUUAAAAGUUAUUCAAAUCAUGACGCUGCACCCCACGGUUUAGGUUCUAGGGGGCGCCAAAGAUAACCCUAAGAUCCACAUAUUUAAAAGUCUUAUAACUUUUUAUUUUUGCCCUCACUGGCCUCCAAGUUUUCUAGGAUGAUGCAAUGUCCAGCCAUCAACACAUUUGUGAAGGAAUUUUUACUCCCCAAAAGAGCGCCCCCCCAUGGCAGGAGAAAAAAGUCCAUUUUUUCUUGUCCCCUAAGGUGAAAAUACACAUUGUUGAGUGUAACACCUGUACGCUUUGGCAAAAUGACACAAAAAUUGACACACACAUGUAUCUCAAUAAGAUCUACGAAAAAGUCAAUGCGCGCGUAUCUGUCAAAUGUACGGUUAAAGGGUUAUUCCGCAUUUUUUGCCGAUCCGCACACAUUGGAAUUUCGCUAACUCCUCCGAAGGCUUUCGUUCCACCGGCACCACAUUUGCUCAGGCCAAUCUACACCCCAUGGCCAUUAAAAGUUAUUCAAAUCAUGACGCUGCACCCCACGGUUUAGGUUCUAGGGGGCGCCAAAGAUAACCCUAAAAUCCACAUAUUUAAAAGUCUUAUAACUUUUUAUUUUUGUCCCCACUGGCCUCCAAGUUUUCUAGGAUGAUGCAAUGUCCAGCCAUCAACACAUUUGUGAAGGAAUUUUUACUCCCCAAAAGAGCGCCCCCCCAUGGCAGGAGAAAAAAGUCAAUUUUUUCUUGUCCACUAAGGUGAAAAUACACAUUGUUGAGUGCUACGCCUGUAUGUUUUGUCGUAUUGACACAAAAUUUUACAUACACGUGUAUUUCAAUAAGAUCUUCGAAAAAGUCAAUGGCCACGUAUCUGUAAAAUGUACAGUUAAAGGGUUAUUUCGCAUUUUUUGCAGAUUCGCACACAUUGGAAUUUCGCUAAUUCCUCCGAAGGCUUUCGUUCCACCGGCACCACAUUUGCUCAGGCCAAUCUACACCCCAUGGCCAUUAAAAGUUAUUCAAAUCAUGACGCUGCACCCCACGGUUUAGGUUCUAGGGGGCGCCAAAUAUAACCCUAAAAUCCACAUAUUUAAAAGUCUUAUAACUUUUUAUUUUUGUCCUCACUGGCCUCCAUGUUUUCUAGGAUGAUGCAAUGUCCAGCCAUCAACACAUUUGUGAAGGAGUUUUUUCUCUUUAAAAGAGCGCCCCCCCAUGGCAGGAGAAUAAAGUCAAGUUUUUCCUGUUCAUCAUUCAAUGGCUCAAACGCACUGCUCUCUCGGCAAAAGCGAAAGGAGGAGCAACUUGCCAUUUGGAUAUAUCUUAGCUGUGUUUGUGCCCUCACUCAUGGUCCAGACUUUUUUCAAAUAGGACAUGGAGUUUUUCUGCAGCGAGCGUUUUGGUAGAAACUGCGCCUCCCGUUCAUUAUAAUGGUAAAUGACCACAAACAAGUGCGCACACCAUCUUUGGACCUUGAGUGUGACGCGAUCGGGUGGGGGAGGCGGUCGCGCUGGGGGCGGCGUGACACGGCUCGGGCCCGCCAGUGCCCCAACGGGGCCCUAGUUCUUUCUUUCUUUCUUCUUAUUUUUCCUCCCCUUUGAAGGGGAAAAUGGCCCACUUCCCACUGGCGAAAACUCAUGAAAUUUGGCAGGACGACCGGGCCUGGUGAAAAAUUCGAUAUUCUGAAGUCGCCCAAACAAUAAAAUGCAAAAUGGCUCCAUAGCGCCCCCUAAGGUGAAAAUUCACACUAUUGACUGUCACGCCUGUACGCUUUGUCAUGUUGAAACAAAAAUUGACACACACGUGUAUCGCAAUACGGUCUACGAAAAAGUCAGUGCGGGCGCAUCUGUGAAAUGUACGGUUAGAGGGUUAUUUCGCAUUUUUUGCAGAUCUGCACACAUUGGAAUUUCUCUAACUCCUCCGAAGGCAUUCGUUCCACCGGCACCACAUUUGCUCAGGCCAAUCUACACCCCAUGGCCAUUAAAAGUUGUACAAAUCAUGACGCUGCACCCCACGGUUUACGUUCUAGGGGGCGCCAAAGAUAACCCAAAAAUCCACAGUCUUAAAAGUCUUAUAACUUUGUAUUUUUGUCCUCAAUGGCCUCCAAGUUUUCUAGGAUGAUGCAAUGUCCAGCCAACAACACAUUUGUGAAGGAAUUUUUACUCCCCAAAAGAGCGCCCCCCAUGGCAGGAGAAAAAAGUCAAUUUUUUCUUGUCCCCUAAGGUGAAAAUACACAUUGUUGAGUGUCACGCCUAUACGCUUUGUCAUAUUGACCCAAAAUUUGACAAUCACGUGUAUCUCAAUAACAUCUACGAAAAAGUCAAUGGGCACGUAUCUGUAAAAUGUACGGUUAAAGGGUUACUUCGCAUUUUUUCCCGAUCCGCACACAUUGGAAUUUCGCUAACUCCUCCGAAGGCUUUCGUUCCACCGCCACCAAAUUUGCUCAGGCCAAUCUACACCCCAUGGCCAUUCAAAGUUGUACAAAUCAUGAUGCUGCACUCCACGGUUUAGGUUCUAGGGGGCGCCAAACAUAACCCUAAAAUCCACAUUCUUAAUAGUCUUAUAACUUUUUAUUUUUGUCCUCACUGGCCUCCAAGUUUUCUAGGAUGAUGCAAUGUCCAGCCAUCAACACAUUUGUAAAGGAAUUUUUACUCUCGAAAAGAGCGCCCCCCCCCCAUGGCAGGAGAAAAAAGUCCAUUUUUUCUUGUCCCCUAAGGUGAAAAAACACAUUGUUGAGUGUCACUCCUAUACGCUUUGUCGAAAUGACACAAAAUUUGACACACACGUGUAUCUCAAUAAGAUCUACGAAAAAGUCAAUGUGCACGCAUCUGUAAAAUGUACAGUCAAAGGGCUAUUUCGCAUUUUUUCCCGAUCCGCACACAUUGGAAUUUCGCUAACUCCUCCUAAGGCUUUCGUCCCACCGACACCAAAUUUGCUCAAGCAGAUCUACAUCCCAUGGCCAUUCAAAGUUGUAAAAAUCAUGACGCUGCACCCCACGGUUUACGUUCUAAGGGGCGCCAAAGAUGACCCAAAUAUCCACAUUCUUAAAAGAAUCCCCCCCCCCCCAAGGCAGGAGGAAAAGUCAAGUUUUUCCUGCCCAUCGCUCAAUGGCUCAAUCGCAUCGCUCUCCCGGCAACACCGUAACGAGGAGCAACUUGCCAUUUGGAUAUAUCCUAGCUGUGUUUGUGCCCUCACUCAUGGUCCAGACUGUUUUCAAAUAGGACAUGUAGUUUGUCUGCAGCGAGUGUUUUGGUAGAAACUGCGUCUCCCAUUCAUUAUAAUGGGAAAUGACCACAGACAAGUGCGCACACCAUCUUUGGACCUUGAGUGUGACGCGAUCGGGAGGGGGAGGCGGUCGCGCUGGGGGCGGCGCGACGCUGCUCGGGCCCGACAGUGCCCCACCGGGGCCCUAGUUAUUAUUAUUUUCACACUUAACCAUACCAACUCUAAUCCCUAACUGAACCUCCAAAAAUAAUUGCUCUACAAACACAUAGUCUAAAAGAUAGACAGCAUAGCAUACCAAUUGAGCUGAGUCAUUAAACUUCCUACCAACACAUAAUUUUUACACACAGAUUGAGCUCAGAGACUCGACUGGGAACAUGUGACAGGUCGACAUGCGCCGGCCAGUGCAAGCCCUUGAUCAGCCUACCCCAAACCGCCAAGUCAACUGACGAAUGCGGGGGCUAUCACUGUAUCUCUUACCCACACCCCAAAAAAUUUUUAUUUCAUUUUUCGUUUUUUUUUUUUUUUUUUGUCAAACUAACGCAAAAAGGUUGGAAAAGAGAUCCUACAAAGGUUUUGGACAGUGAUUUUAACCCUAACGCCAAAAACCUUUAAACUUUACCUAGCCGUGUAACCUAAUAUCCGGGUAUUACCUAAAGGAAGCCCUACAUGCCCCAAAGUAUCUUUUUUAUUUUUCGUUUUUUUUGGUCUAACUAACUCCAAAAGGUCUGAAACAUGUUCCUACAAAGGUUUUGGACAGUGAUUUUAACCCUAACGCCAAAAACCUUUAACCUUACCCUAGCCCCAUAACCUAAUACCCGGGUAUUACCUUAAGGAAGCCCUACAACCCCAAAUUGUUUUUUUUCAUUCUACAUUUUUUUGGUCUUACUAACUCCAAAAGGUCUUAAACAUAUUCCUAAAAAAUAUUGGACAGUGAUUUUAACCCUCACGAUAAAAAACCUUAAACCUUACCCUAGCCCCGUGACCUAAUACCCGGGUAUUACCUUAAGGAAGCCUUAACACUGCAAAAAUAUAUUUAGGGCCCGAGCGUAGCUGCUAAGCAGCUGCGAGAGCCCUCUUGUUCCUGAUGGAUUCUUCUUUCGUUAUUAGGGCCCGAGCGUAGCUGCUAAGCAGCUGCGAGAGCCCUAUUGUUCCUGUAUGGGUUUUUCUUUCUUCUUUCUUUAGGGCCCGAGCGUAGCUGCUAAGCAGCUGCGAGAGCCCUCUUGUUCCUGCAUGUUUCCUUCUUUCGUUAUUAUUUUUCCUCCGCUUUAAACUGGAAAAUGGCCCACUUCCCACUGGCGAAAACUCAGGAAAUUUGGCAGGACGACCGGGCCUGGUGAAAAAUUCGAUAUUCUGAAGUCGCCCAAACAAUAAAAUGCAAAAUGGCUCCAUAGCGCCCCCUAAGGUGAAAAUUCACAUGACGGCUGUACGCUUUGUCAUAUUGACACAAAAAUUGACACACACAUGUAUCUCAAUAAGAUCUACAAAAAAGUCAGUGCGGGCGUAUCUGUCAAAUGUACGGUUAAUGGGUUAUUUUGCAUUUUUUGCAGAUCUGCACACAUUGGAAUUUCGCUAACUCCUCCGAAGGCUUUCGUUCGACCGGCACCACAUUUGCGCUGGCCAAUCUACCCCCCAUGGCCAUUAAAAGUUGUACAAAUCAUGACGCUGCACCCCACGGUUUACGUUCUAGGGGGCGCCAAAGAUAACCCAAAAUCCACAUUCUUAAAAGUCUUAUAACUUUUUAUUUUUGUCCUCACUGCCCUCCAAGUUUUCUAGGAUGAUGCAAUGUCCAGCCAUCAACACAUUUGUGAAGGAAUUUUUACUCCCCAAAAGAGCGCCCCCCCCAUGGCAGGAGAAAAAAGUCAAUUUUUUCUUGUCCCCUUACAUGAAAAUACACAUUGUUGAGUGUCACGCCUGAACGCUUUGUCAUAUUGACACAAAAUUUGACACACACGUGUAUCUCAAUAAGAUCUACGAAAAAGUCAAAAAGCGCGUAUCUGUAUAAUGUACGGUUAAAGGGCUAUUUCGCAUUUUUUGCCGAUUCGCACACAUUGGAAUGUGGCUAUCUCCUCCCAAGGCUUUCGUCCCACCGAUACCAAAUUUGCUCAGGGCAAUCUACACCCCAUGGCCAUUCAAAGUUGUAAAAAUCAUGACGCUGCACCCCACGGUUUACGUUCUAGGGGGCGCCAAAGAUGACCCAAAAAUCCACAUUCUUAAAAGUCAUUUUGGACACUGCAGGAGUACAGAGUACUGCAGUUCUAGGGGGCGCCAAAGAUGACCCAAAAAUCCACAUUCUUAAAAGUCUUUUUGGCCACUGCAGGAGUACAGAGUACUGCAGGAUACACACACAUAUACACACACACACACACACACACACACACACACUCAGAGUCUGUUUUUUAGCACCUGCAAAAACAUGCUGUUUACAUAUUUGACAAGAAUGCAGAGGCUUCCUUUUGCCCCUGAAAAAAAUCAGAUUUCAAACACAACUUGACUGUUCAUUUCUCCAAAAGACAACCAUGAAGCUCCAUCCAAACCUGAAGCAGAUAGUUGGUGCAUGUGUACAGUAACCUGAGGGGAGUGAGGUGACUAUUUCUGAGGAGAACAUGAGCAGUGACGAUUCACCUUGGAGCUAGAACAGGGACGUGCACAUGAUUAUACAGGGGCAGGGGCUCAAGUUUUUUCCAGUCAUUUAUACAAUAUGGAAAUUAAUGUGAAAUUAAACCACAAAUAUGUGUGAUGAACUGUUUUUAAAACUUAAACUUCAAAUAAAAAUUGUAAACUUCAAAACAUAUGCAAAUUUUUAACAAAGAACAUAGUAAUUUACCUCUAUUUACAUCAAAAUGCAGGCAAUGGCCCAGGCGUUCUUUGUAAAAUUAUUUACAAAACACUGUAUAGUCUCACAAAUGUCACUUUUUAUUUAUGCCACUACAAAAAAACAUGAUGUAAAUGAUGCAUGAUGUAAAACAUGAUGUAAAAAACUUGUGUAGAUCCUCCUCUAUGUCAGUCCAUGUGUAAUUUUUCCAUAAUUCUUUGUUUUUUGCAGCAUUUUUGUUAGUGUAACUGCAGAUUGUGCUGACAGUGUCUAUGGCAAAAAAAACAAAAACUGAAAAUGCCUCAACAUGAACCCCUGGUGGUCUCUGAGGGUGAAACCUGCUAACUGCUGCAGCUCUGUCAGCUUCAGUCUCCCAUGCAGAGCUCGGAGCGCAUGUGUGGCUCUGCACCCUUAGCAGCGUUGCUAACUCCUCAGUAAGGAAAGCCUGCUUCAUGUCAGAGUCUCUAAACUCCAGAAGAAGUCGAUAAAAGUCCCUUUCUUUCUAAAGUCGUUAGGGGGUCUGAAAAGUAAUUGAAUCUAACAACAAAGUCGCUAGGUUUGCAACUACGUGUCCCAGACUGCAUCCCUGCUGAGAGUCCCUCCCUCCCUUCUCAUGUUGCAGGAAGAACGUAAGCGCCCGCCCCUUGUCAAUCAGUCACCAUAUAAUUUUGGAUUGGUUGUUGUGGUGAAGUUUUCCACCAAUAGGAGAGAUGUUGUGGUGUGUUUUUUUUUUCUUUAGGCAAGCCUUUUCCGCCUGUAAGACCUGUCGCUAAUGUGUGCAUGCUAUGUUUUCCUGUCUCAUACAGCGCGAUCGAGCGCCGAACGUGAUCAAAAUAAGCAGAAAAAAAGUAUCACGGACAUAAUUUAUCAUAACUCUGGUUUUAUUUGGCCUAUCAACACAAUUUAAAAACUGGUAUAUAGGUUGAGGUCCUCACUUUUGAGAUAAGUUGAAACAGAGAAUUAACGAGGCUCCGUCUUGCAGCUACAUCCGGUUAAAUAUGUCAUGUGACUUGAACGCUGGGGAGCGUCAAUCGAAUCGAAUCAAACCUAACUCUCAGAUGAAUCUUCAAAAUUCACCUCAGAAAUAUGCUUAUUAUUCUUCUCAGAGUACUGCAGGAUACACACACACACACACACACAGACACACACACACACACGCACACACACACACACACACACACACACUCAGAGUCUGUUUUUUAGCACCUGCAAAUACAUGCUAUUUACAUAUUUGACAAGAAUGCAGAGGCUUCCUUUUGCCCCUGAAAAAAAUCAAAUUUCAAACACAACUUGACUGCUCAUUUCUCCAAAAGACAACCAUGAAGCUCCAUCCAAACCUGAAGCAGGCAGUUGGUGCAUGUGUACAGUAACCUGAGGGGAGUGAGGUGACUGCUUCUGAGGAGAACAUGAGCAGUGAAGAUUCACCUUGGAGCUAGAACAGGGACGUGCACAUGAUAAUACAGGGGCAGGGGCUCAAGUUUUUUCCAGUCGUUUAUACAAUAAGGAAAUUAAUGUGAAAUUAAAAAACAAAGUAUGACUGUCCUGUGUAGGUGACAGUGAUAUCCAAUAGGCUAGGCACUCACGAGGCUGGCUGUGGCAAGUGUAAGUGAAAGCAACACGCACUGGCAGGAAGAACAGCAAACGCCGAUGAAGGAAAAGGGUCUUUGCAGUGAUGGGCGUCACCAGAGAGGGCGAUGGCCAGAGGACACAAAUGGGACGGGGAGGCAGCGCGUUGGGGGGGGGGGGGGGUGCGACACGGCUCGGGCCCGCCAGUGCCCCAACGGGGCCCUAGUUCUUUCUUUCUUUCUUUCUUUCUUCUUAUUUUUCCUCCCCUUUGAAGGGGAAAAUGGCCCACUUCCCACUGGCGAAAACUCAUGAAAUUUGGCAGGACGAAUGGGCCUGGUGAAAAAUUCGAUAUUCUGAAGUCGCCCAAACAAUAAAAUGCAAAAUGGCUCCAUAGCGCCCCCUAAGGUGAAAAUUCACACUAUUGACUGUCACGCCUUUACGCUUUGUCAUAUUGACACAAAAAUUGACACACACAUGUAUCUCAAUAAGAUCUACAAAAAAGUCAGUGCGGGCGUAUCUGUCAAAUGUACGGUUAAAGGGUUAUUUUGCAUUUUUUGCCGAUCCGCACACAUUGGAAUUUCGCUAACUCCUCCGAAGGCUUUCGUUCCACCGGCACCACAUUUGCUCAGGCCAAUCUACACCCCAUGGCCAUUAAAAGUUGUACAAAUCAUGACGCUGCACCCCACGGUUUACGUUCUAGGGGGCGCCAAAGAUAACCCAAAAAUCCACAGUCUUAAAAGUCUUAUAACUUUUUAUUUUUGUCCUCACUGGCCUCCAAGUUCUCUAGGAUGAUGCAAUGUCCAGCCAUCAACACAUUUGUGAAGGAAUUUUUACUCGCCAAAAGAGCGCCCCCCCAUGGCAGGAGAAAAAAGUCAAUUUUUUCUUGUCUCCUAAGGCGAAAAUUCACACUAUUGACUGUCACGCCUUUAAGCUUUGUCAUAUUGACACAAAAAUUGACACACACAUGUAUCUCAAUAAGAUCUACAAAAAAGUCAGUGCGGGCGUAUCUGUCAAAUGUACGGUUAAAGGGCUAUUUCGCAUUUUUUGCCGAUCCGCACACAUUGGAAUUUCGCUAACUCCUCCGAAGGCUUUCGUUUCAAAGGCACCACAUUUGCUCAGGCCAAUCUACACCCCAUGGCCAUUAAAAGUUGUACAAAUCAUGACGCUGCACCCCACGGUUUACGUUCUAGGGGGCGCCAAAGAUAACCCAAAAAUCCACAGUCUUAAAAGUCUUAUAACUUUUUAUUUUUGUCCUCACUGGCCUCCAAGUUCUCUAGGAUGAUGCAAUGUCCAGCCAUCAACACAUUUGUGAAGGAAUUUUUACUCGCCAAAAGAGCCCCCCCCAUGGCAGGAGAAAAAAGUCCAUUUUUUCUUGUAUCCUAAGGCGAAAAUACACAUUGUUGACUGUCACGCCUUUACGCUUUGUCAAAAUGACACAAAAUUUGACACACACAUGUAUCUCAAUAAGAUCUACGAAAAAGUCAAUGCGAGCGUAUCUGUUCAAUGUACGGUUAAAGGGCUAUUUCGCAUUUUUUGCGGAUUCGCACACAUUGGAAUGUGGCUAACUCCUCCUAAAUCUUUUGUCCCAUCGGCUUCAAAUUUGCUCAGGUCAAUCUACACCCCAUGGCCAUUCAAAGUUGUACAAAUCAUGACGCUGCACCCCACAGUUUACGUUCUAGGGGGCGCCAAAGAGGACCCAAAUAUCCACAUUUUUAAAAGUCUUAUAACUUUUUAUUUUUGUCCUCACUGGCCUCCAAGUUUUCUAGGAUGAUGCAAUGUCCAGCCAUCAACACAUUUGUGAAGGAAUUUUUUCUCCCCAAAAGAGCGCCCCCCCAUGGCAGGAGAAAAAGUCAAGUUUUUCCUGCCCAUCGCUCAAUGGCUCAAACGCAUCGCUCUCUCGGCAAAACCGAAAGGAGGAGCAACUUGCCAUUUGGAUAUAUACUAGCUGUGUUUGUGCCCUCACUCAUGGUCCAGACUUUUUUCAAAAAGGACACGUAGUUUUUCUGCAGCGAGCGUUUUGGUAGAGACUGUGCCUCCCAUUCAUUAUAAUGGGAAAUGACCAAAGACAGUUGCGCACACCAUCUUUGGACCCUGACUGUGACGUCACAGUUUGAGAUACAAAUGUUAUUUGACCUCUGACCUUUAGUGGAGACCCUAACCUUUCAACGCGCAAAAGCGUUGGACACACACUGGCGGGAAGAACCACAAACGCCGAUGAAGGAUAAGGGUCUUUGUAGUGAUGGGCGUUACCAGAGAGGGCGAUGGCCAGAGGAAGAGAAUGGGACGGGGAGGGCGAUCGCGUUGGGGAGGGGGCGCGACACGGCUCGGGCCCGCCAGUGCCCCAACGGGGCCCUAGUUCUUUCUUUUUCUUUCUUUCUUUCUUUUUUUCUCCCCUUUGAACUGGAAAAUGGCCCACUUCCCACUGGCGAAAACUCAUGAAAUUUGGCAGGACGACCGGGCCUGGUGAAAAAUUCGAUAUUCUGAAGUCGCCCAAACAAUAAAAUGCAAAAUGGCUCCAUAGCGCCCCCUAAGGUGAAAAUUCACACUAUUGACUGUCACGCCUGUACGCUUUGUCAUUUGACACAAAAAUUGACACACACAUGUAUCUCAAUAAGAUCUACAAAAAAGUCAGUGCGGGCGUAUCUGUCAAAUGUACGGUUAAAGGGUUAUUUCGCAUUUUUUGCCGAUCCGCACACAUUGGAAUUUCGCUAACUCCUCCGAAGGCUUUCGUUCCACCGGCACCACAUUUGCUCAGGCCAAUCUACACCCCAUGGCCAUUAAAAGUUAUUCAAAUCAUGACGCUGCACCCCACGGUUUAGGUUCUAGGGGGCGCCAAAGAUAACCCUAAGAUCCACAUAUUUAAAAGUCUUAUAACUUUUUAUUUUUGCCCUCACUGGCCUCCAAGUUUUCUAGGAUGAUGCAAUGUCCAGCCAUCAACACAUUUGUGAAGGAAUUUUUACUCCCCAAAAGAGCGCCCCCCCAUGGCAGGAGAAAAAAGUCAAUUUUUUCUUGUCCCCUAAGGUGAAAAUACACAUUGUUGAGUGUAAUACCUGUACGCUUUGGCAAAAUGACACAAAAAUUGACACACACAUGUAUCUCAAUAAGAUCUACAAAAAAGUCAGUGCGGGCGUAUCUGUCAAAUGUACGGUUAAAGGGCUAUUUCGCAUUUUUUGCCGAUCCGCACACAUUGGAAUGUGGCUAACUCCUCCGAAGGCUUUCGUUUCAAAGGCACCACAUUUGCUCAGGCCAAUCUACACCCCAUGGCCAUUAAAAGUUGUACAAAUCAUGACGCUGCACCCCACGGUUUACGUUCUAGGGGGCGCCAAAGAUAACCCAAAAAUCCACAGUCUUAAAAGUCUUAUAACUUUUUAUUUUUGUCCUCACUGGCCUCCAAGUUCUCUAGGAUGAUGCAAUGUCCAGCCAUCAACACAUUUGUGAAGGAAUUUUUACUCGCCAAAAGAGCGCCCCCCCCCCCCAUGGCAGGAGAAAAAAGUCCAUUUUUUCUUGUAUCCUAAGGCGAAAAUACACAUUGUUGACUGUCACGCCUUUACGCUUUGUCAAAAUGACACAAAAUUUGACACACACAUGUAUCUCAAUAAGAUCUACGAAAAAGUCAAUGCGAGCGUAUCUGUUCAAUGUACGGUUAAAGGGCUAUUUCGCAUUUUUUGCCGAUUCGCACACAUUGGAAUGUGGCUAACUCCUCCUAAAUCUUUUGUCCCAUCGGCUUCAAAUUUGCUCAGGUCAAUCUACACCCCAUGGCCAUUCAAAGUUGUACAAAUCAUGACGCUGCACCCCACAGUUUACGUUCUAGGGGGCGCCAAAGAGGACCCAAAUAUCCACAUUUUUAAAAGUCUUAUAACUUUUUAUUUUUGUCCUCACUGGCCUCCAAGUUUUCUAGGAUGAUGCAAUGUCCAGCCAUCAACACAUUUGUGAAGGAAUUUUUUCUCCCCAAAAGAGCGCCCCCCAUGGCAGGAGAAAAAGUCAAGUUUUUCCUGCCCAUCGCUCAAUGGCUCAAACGCAUCGCUCUCUCGGCAAAACCGAAAGGAGGAGCAACUUGCCAUUUGGAUAUAUACUAGCUGUGUUUGUGCCCUCACUCAUGGUCCAGACUUUUUUCAAAAAGGACACGUAGUUUUUCUGCAGCGAGCGUUUUGGUAGAGACUGUGCCUCCCAUUCAUUAUAAUGGGAAAUGACCAAAGACAGUUGCGCACACCAUCUUUGGACCCUGACUGUGACGUCACAGUUUGAGAUACAAAUGUUAUUUGACCUCUGACCUUUAGUGGAGACCCUAACCUUUCAACGCGCAAAAGCGUUGGACACACACUGGCGGGAAGAACCACAAACGCCGAUGAAGGAUAAGGGUCUUUGUAGUGAUGGGCGUUACCAGAGAGGGCGAUGGCCAGAGGAAGAGAAUGGGACGGGGAGGCGAUCGCGUUGGGGAGGGGGCGCGACACGGCUCGGGCCCGCCAGUGCCCCAACGGGGCCCUAGUUAUUAUUUUUCCUCCCCUUUGAACUGGAAAAUGGCCCACUUCCCACUGGCGAAAACUCAUGAAAUUUGGCAGGACGACCGGGCCUGGUGAAAAAUUUGAUAUUCCGAAGUCGCCCAAACAAGAAAAUGCAAAAUGGCUCCAUAGCGCCCCCUAAGGUGAAAAUUCACACUAUUGACUGUCACGCCUGUACGCUUUGUCAAAAUGACACAAAAAUUGACACACACAUGUAUCUCAAUAAGAUCUACAAAAAAGUCAGUGCGGGCGUAUCUGUCAAAUGUACGGUUAAAGGGUUAUUUCGCAUUUUUUGCCGAUCCGCACACAUUGGAAUUUCGCUAACUCCUCCGAAGGCUUUCGUUCCACCGGCACCACAUUUGCUCAGGCCAAUCUACACCCCAUGGCCAUUAAAAGUUAUUCAAAUCAUGACGCUGCACCCCAAGGUUUAGGUUCUAGGGGGCGCCAAAGAUAACCCUAAGAUCCACAUAUUUAAAAGUCUUAUAACUUUUUAUUUUUGCCCUCACUGGCCUCCAAGUUUUCUAGGAUGAUGCAAUGUCCAGCCAUCAACACAUUUGUGAAGGAAUUUUUACUCCCCAAAAGAGCGCCCCCCCAUGGCAGGAGAAAAAAGUCAAUUUUUUCUUGUCCCCUAAGGUGAAAAUACACAUUGUUGAGUGUAAUACCUGUACGCUUUGGCAAAAUGACACAAAAAUUGACACACACAUGUAUCUCAAUAAGAUCUACGAAAAAGUCAAUGCGCGCGUAUCUGUCAAAUGUACGGUUAAAGGGUUAUUCCGCAUUUUUUGCCGAUCCGCACACAUUGGAAUUUCGCUAACUCCUCCGAAGGCUUUCGUUCCACCGGCACCACAUUUGCUCAGGCCAAUCUGCACCCCAUGGCCAUUAAAAGUUAUUCAAAUCAUGACGCUGCACCCCACGGUUUACGUUCUCGGGGGCGCCAAAGAUAACCCAAAAAUCCACAUUCUUAAAAGUCUUAUAACUUUUUAUUUUUGUCCUCACUGGCCUCCAAGUUUUCUAGGAUGAUGCAAUGUCCAGCCAUCAACACAUUUGUGAAGGAAUUUUUACUCCCCAAAAGAGCGCCCCCCCAUGGCAGGAGAAAAAAGUCCAUUUUUUCUUGUCCCCUAACAUGAAAAUACACAUUGUUGAGUGUCACGCCUGAACGCUUUGUCAUAUUGACACAAAAAUUGACAAUCAUGUGUAUCUCAAUUAGAUCUACGAAAAAGUCAAAAAGCGCGUAUCUGUAUAAUGUACGGUUAAAGGGCUAUUUCGCAUUUUUUGCCGAUUCGCACACAUUGGAAUGUGGCUAUCUCCUCCUAAGGCUUUCGUCCCACCGAUACCAAAUUUGCUCAGGGCAAUCUACACCCCAUGCCCAUUCAAAGUUGUAAAACUCAUGACGCUGCACCCCACGGUUUACGUUCUAGGGGGCGCCAAAGAUGACCCAAAAAUCCACAUUCUUAAAAGUCAUUUUGGCCACUGCAGGAGUACAGAGUACUGCAGUUCUAGGGGGCGCCAAAGAUGACCCAAAAAUCCACAUUCUUAAAAGUCUUUUUGGCCACUGCAGGAGUACAGAGUACUGCAGGAUACACACACAUACACACACACACACACACACACACACACACACACACACACACACACACACUCAGAGUCUGUUUUUUAGCACCUGCAAAAACAUGCUGUUUACAUAUUUGACAAGAAUGCAGAGGCUUCCUUUUGCCCCUGAAAAAAAUCAGAUUUCAAACACAACUUGACUGUUCAUUUCUCCAAAAGACAACCAUGAAGCUCCAUCCAAACCUGAAGCAGAUAGUUGGUGCAUGUGUACAGUAACCUGAGGGGAGUGAGGUGACUAUUUCUGAGGAGAACAUGAGCAGUGAAGAUUCACCUUGGAGCUAGAACAGGGACGUGCACAUGAUUAUACAGGGGCAGGGGCUCAAGUUUUUUCCAGUCAUUUAUACAAUAUGGAAAUUAAUGUGAAAUUAAACCACAAAUAUGUGUGAUGAACUGUUUUUAAAACUUAAACUUCAAAUAAAAAUUGUAAACUUCAAAACAUAUGCAAAUUUUUAACAAAGAACAUAGUAAUUUACCUCUAUUUACAUCAAAAUGCAGGCAAUGGCCCAGGCGUUCUUUGUAAAAUUAUUUACAAAACACUGUAUAGUCUCACAAAUGUCACUUUUUAUUUAUGCCACUACAAAAAAACAUGAUGUAAAUGAUGCAUGAUGUAAAACAUGAUGUAAAAAACUUGUGUAGAUCCUCCUCUAUGUCAGUCCAUGUGUAAUUUUUCCAUAAUUCUUUGUUUUUUGCAGCAUUUUUGUUAGUGUAACUGCAGAUUGUGCUGACAGUCUAUGGCAAAAAAAACAAAAACUGAAAAUGCCUCAACAUGAACCCCUGGUGGUCUCUGAGGGUGAAACCUGCUAACUGCUGCAGCUCUGUCAGCUUCAGUCUCCCAUGCAGAGCUCGGAGCGCAUGUGUGGCUCUGCACCCUUAGCAGCGUUGCUAACUCCUCAGUAAGGAAAGCCUGCUUCAUGUCAGAGUCUCUAAACUCCAGAAGAAGUCGAUAAAAGUCCCUUUCUUUCUAAAAAAAAGUCGUUAGGGGGUCUGAAAAGUAAUUGAAUCUAACAACAAAGUCGCUAGGUUUGCAACUACGUGUCCCAGACUGCAUCCCUGCUGAGAGUCCCUCCCUCCCUUCUCAUGUUGCAGGAAGAACGUAAGCGCCCGCCCCUUGUCAAUCAGUCACCAUAUAAUUUUGGAUUGGUUGUUGUGGUGAAGUUUUCCACCAAUAGGAGAGAUGUUGUGGUGUGUUUUUUUUUUCUUUUGGCAAGCCUUUUCCGCCUGUAAGACCUGUCGCUAAUGUGUGCAUGCUAUGUUUUCCUGUCUCAUACAGCGCGAUCGAGCGCCGAACGUGAUCAAAACAAGCAGAAAAAAAGUAUCGCGGACAUAAUUUAUCAUAACUCUGGUUUUAUUUGGCCUAUCAACACAAUUUAAAAACUGGUAUAUAGGUUGAGGUCCUCACUUUUGAGAUAAGUUGAAACGGAGAGUUAACGAGGCUCCGUCUUGCAGCUACAUCCGGUUAAAUAUGUCAUGUGACUUGAACGCUGGGGAGAGUCAAUCGAAUCGAAUCAAACCUAACUCUCAGAUGAAUCUUCAAAAUUCACCUCAGAAAUAUGCUUAUUAUUCUUCUCAGAGUACUGCAGGAUACACACACACACACACACAGACACACGCACACACACACACACACACACACACACACACACUCAGAGUCUGUUUUUUAGCACCUGCAAAAACAUGCUAUUUACAUAUUUGACAAGAAUGCAGAGGCUUCCUUUUGCCCCUGAAAAAAGUCAAAUUUCAAACACAACUUGACUGCUCAUUUCUCCAAAAGACAACCAUGAAGCUCCAUCCAAACCUGAAGCAGGCAGUUGGUGCAUGUGUACAGUAACCUGAGGGGAGUGAGGUGACUGCUUCUGAGGAGAACAUGAGCAGUGAAGAUUCACCUUGGAGCUAGAACAGGGACGUGCACAUGAUAAUACAGGGGCAGGGGCUCAAGUUUUUUCCAGUCGUUUAUACAAUAUGGAAAUUAAUGUGAAAUUAAAAAACAAAGUAUGACUGUCCUGUGUAGGUGACAGUGAUAUCCAAUAGGCUAGGCACUCACGAGGCUGGCUGUGGCAAGUGUAAGUGAAAGCAACACGCACUGGCAGGAAGAACAGCAAACGCCGAUGAAGGAAAAGGGUCUUUGCAGUGAUGGGCGUUACCAGAGAGGGCGAUGGCCAGAGGAAACGAAUGGGACGGGGAGGCAGCGCAUUGGGGGGGGGGGGGUGCGACACGGCUCGGGCCCGCCAGUGCCCCAACGGGGCCCUAGUUCUUCUUUAGGGCCCGAGCGUAGCUGCUAAGCAGCUGCGAGAGCCCUCUUGUUCCUGAUGGAUUCUUCUUUUGUUAUUAGGGCCCGAGCGUAGCUGCUAAGCAGCUGCGAGAGCCCUAUUAUUCCUGAUGGAUUCUUCUUUCUUCUUCUUCUUCUUCUUAUUAUUUUUCUGCCCCUUUGAACUGGAAAAUGGCCCACUUCCCACUGGUGAAAAGUCAUGAAAUUUGGCAGGACGACCGGGCCUGGUGAAAAAUUCGAUAUUCUGAAGUCGCCCAAAAAAUCAAAUGCAAAAUGGCUCCAUAGCGCCCCCUAAGGUGAAAAAUUCACAUGAUUGAGUGUCACGCCUGUACGUUUUGUCAAAAUGACACAAAAUUUGACACACACGUGUAUCUCAAUAAGAUCUACAAAAAAGUCAGUGCGGGCGUAUCUGUCAAAUGUACGGUUAAAGGUUUAUUUCGCAUUUUUUGCCGAUCCGCACACAUUGGAAUUUCGCUAACUCCUCCGAAGGUUUUCCUUCCACCGGCACCACAUUUGCUCAGGCCAAUCUACACCCCAUGGCCAAUAAAAGUUGUACAAAUCAUGACGCUGCACCCCACGGUUUACGUUCUAGGGGGCGCCAAAGAUAACCCAAAAAUCCACAGUCUUAAAAGUCUUAUAACUUUUUAUUUUUGUCCUCACUGGCCUCCAAGUUCUCUAGGAUGAUGCAAUGUCCAGCCAUCAACACAUUUGUGAAGGAAUUUUUACUCGCCAAAAGAGCGCCCCCCCAUGGCAGGAGAAAAAUGUCCAUUUUUUCUUGUCUCCUAAGGCGAAAAUACACAUCGUUGACUGUCACGCCUUUACGCUUUGUCAAAAUGACACAAAAUUUGACACACACAUGUAUCUCAAUAAGAUCUACAAAAAAGUCAGUGCGGGCGUAUCUGUCACAUGUACGGUUAAAGGGUUAUUUCGCAUUUUUUGCCGAUCCGCACACAUUGGAAUUUCGCUAACUCCUCUGAAGGCUUUCGUUCCAACGGCACCACAUUUGCUCAGGCCAAUCUACACCCCAUGGCCAUUAAAAGUUGUACAAAUCAUGACACUGCACCCCACGGUUUACGUUCUAGGGGGCGCCAAAGAUAACCCAAAAUCCACAGUCUUAAAAGUCUUAUAACUUUUUAUUUUUGUCCUCACUGGCCUCCAAGUUCUCUAGGAUGAUGCAAUGUCCAGCCAUCAACACAUUUGUGAAGGAAUUUUUACUCGCCAAAAGAGCGCCCCCCCAUGGCAGGAGAAAAAAGUCCAUUUUUUCUUGUCUCCUAAGGCGAAAAUACACAUUGUUGAUUGUCACGCCUUUACGCUUUGUCAAAAUGACACAAAAUUUGACACACACAUGUAUCUCAAUAAGAUCUACGAAAAAGUCAAUGCGAGCGUAUCUGUUCAAUGUACGGUUAAAGGGCUAUUUUGCAUUUUUUGCCGAUUCGCACACAUUGGAAUGUGGCUAACUCCUCCUAAAGCUUUUGUCCCAUCGGCUUCAAAUUUGCUCAGGUCAAUCUACACCCCAUGGCCAUUCAAAGUUGUACAAAUCAUGACGCUGCACCCCACGGUUUACGUUCUAGGGGGUGCCAAAGAGGACCCAAAUAUCCACAUUUUUAAAAGUCUUAUAACUUUUUAUUUUUGUCCUCACUGGCCUCCAAGUUUUCUAGGAUGAUGCAAUGUCCAGCCAUCAACACAUUUGUGAAGGAAUUUUUUCUCCCCAAAAGAGCGCCCCCCCAUGGCAGGAGAAAAAGUCAAGUUUUUCCUGCCCAUCGCUCAAUGGCUCAAAAGCAUCGCUCUCUCGGCAAAACCGAAAGGAGGAGCAACUUGCCAUUUGGAUAUAUACUAGCUGUGUUUGUGCCCUCACUCAUGGUCCAGACUUUUUUCAAAAAGGACAUGGAGUUUGUCUGCAGCGAGCGUUUUGGUAGAAACUGCGCCUCCCAUUCAUUAUAAUGGUAAAUGACCACAGACAAGUGCGCACACCAUCUUUGGACCUUGAGUGUGACGCGAUCAAGAGGGGUAGGCGGUCGCGCUGGGGGCGGCGCGACACGGCUCGGGCCCGCCAGUGCCCCAACGGGGCCCUAGUUAUUAUUAUUAUUUUUCCUCCCCUUUGAACUGGAAAAUGGCCCACUUCCCACUGGCGAAAACUCAUGAAAUUUGGCAGGACGACCGGGCCUGGUGAAAAAUUUGAUAUUCCGAAGUCGCCCAAACAAGAAAAUGCAAAAUGGCUCCAUAGCGCCCCCUAAGGUGAAAAUUCACACUAUUCACUGUCACGCCGGUACGCUUUGUCAAAAUGACACAAAAAUUGACACACACAUGUAUCUCAAUAAGAUCUACAAAAAAGUCAGUGCGGGCGUAUCUGUCAAAUGUACGGUUAAAGGGUUAUUUCGCAUUUUUUGCCGAUCCGCACACAUUGGAAUUUCGCUAACUCCUCCGAAGGCUUUCGUUCCACCGGCACCACAUUUGCUCAGGCCAAUCUACACCCCAUGGCCAUUAAAAGUUAUUCAAAUCAUGACGCUGCACCCCACGGUUUAGGUUCUAGGGGGCGCCAAAGAUAACCCUAAGAUCCACAUAUUUAAAAGUCUUAUAACUUUUUAUUUUUGCCCUCACUGGCCUCCAAGUUUUCUAGGAUGAUGCAAUGUCCAGCCAUCAACACAUUUGUGAAGGAAUUUUUACUCCCCAAAAGAGCGCCCCCCCAUGGCAGGAGAAAAAAGUCCAUUUUUUCUUGUCCCCUAAGGUGAAAAUACACAUUGUUGAGUGUAACACCUGUACGCUUUGGCAAAAUGACACAAAAAUUGACACACACAUGUAUCUCAAUAAGAUCUACGAAAAAGUCAAUGCGCGCGUAUCUGUCAAAUGUACGGUUAAAGGGUUAUUCCGCAUUUUUUGCCGAUCCGCACACAUUGGAAUUUCGCUAACUCCUCCGAAGGCUUUCGUUCCACCGGCACCACAUUUGCUCAGGCCAAUCUACACCCCAUGGCCAUUAAAAGUUAUUCAAAUCAUGACGCUGCACCCCACGGUUUAGGUUCUAGGGGGAGCCAAAGAUAACCGUAAAAUCCACAUAUUUAAAAGUCUUAUAACUUUUUAUUUUUGUCCCCACUGGCCUCCAAGUUUUCUAGGAUGAUGCAAUGUCCAGCCAUCAACACAUUUGUGAAGGAAUUUUUACUCGGCAAAAGAGCGCCCCCCAUGGCAGGAGAAAAAAGUCAAUUUUUUCUUGUCCACUAAGGUGAAAAUACACAUUGUUGAGUGCUACGCCUGUAUGUUUUGUCGUAUUGACACAAAAUUUUACAUACACGUGUAUUUACAUAAGAUCUUCGAAAAAGUCAAUGGCCACGUAUCUGUAAAAUGUACGGUUAAAGGGUUAUUUUGCAUUUUUUGCAGAUUCGCACACAUUGGAAUUUCGCUAAUUCCUCCGAAGGCUUUCGUUCCACCGGCACCACAUUUGCUCAGGCCAAUCUACACCCCAUGGCCAUUAAAAGUUAUUCAAAUCAUGACGCUGCACCCCACGGUUUAGGUUCUAGGGGGCGCCAAAUAUAACCCUAAAAUCCACAUAUUUAAAAGUCUUAUAACUUUUUAUUUUUGUCCUCACUGGCCUCCAUGUUUUCUAGGAUGAUGCAAUGUCCAGCCAUCAACACAUUUGUGAAGGAGUUUUUUCUCUUUAAAAGAGCGCCCCCCAUGGCAGGAGAAUAAAGUCAAGUUUUUCCUGUUCAUCAUUCAAUGGCUCAAACGCACUGCUCUCUCGGCAAAAGCGGAAGGAGGAGCAACUUGCCAUUUGGAUAUAUCUUAGCUGUGUUUGUGCCCUCACUCAUGGUCCAGACUUUUUUCAAAUAGGACAUGGAGUUUUUCUGCAGCGAGCGUUUUGGUAGAAACUGCGCCUCCCGUUCAUUAUAAUGGUAAAUGACCACAAACAAGUGCGCACACCAUCUUUGGACCUUGAGUGUGACGCGAUCGGGUGGGGGAGGCGGUCGCGCUGGGGGCGGCGUGACACGGCUCGGGCCCGCCAGUGCCCCAACGGGGCCCUAGUUCUUUCUUUCUUUCUUCUUUUUCCUCCCCUUUGAACUGGAAAAUGGCCCACUUCCCACUGGCGAAAACUCAUGAAAUUUGGCAGGACGACCGGGCCUGGUGAAAAAUUCGAUAUUCUGAAGUCGCCCAAACAAUAAAAUGCAAAAUGGCUCCAUAGCGCCCCCUAAGGUGGAAAUUCACACUAUUGACUGUCACGCCUGUACGCUUUGUCAUAUUGACACAAAAAUUGACACACAUAUGUAUCUCAAUAAGAUCUACAAAAAAGUCAGUGCGGCCGUAUCUGUCAAAAUUACGGUUAAAGGGUUAUUUCGCAUUUUUUGCCGAUCCGCACACAUUGGAAUUUCGCUAACUCCUCCGAAGGCUUUCGUUCCACCGGCACCACAUUUGCUCAGGCCAAUCUACACCCCGUGGCCAUUAAAAGUUAUCAAAAUCAUGACGCUGCACCCCAAGGUUUAGGUUCUAGGGGGCGCCAAAGAUAACACUAAAAUCCACAUAUUUAAAAGUCUUAUAACUUUUUAUUUUUGUCCUCACUGGCCUCCAAGUUUUCUAGGAUGAUGCAAUGUCCAGCCAUCAACACAUUUGUGAAGAAAUUUUUACUCCCCAAAAGAGCGCCCCCCCAUGGCAGGAGAAAAAAGUCCAUUUUUUCUUGUCCCCUAAGGUGAAAAUACACAUUGUUGAGUGUCACGCCUAUACGCUUUGUCAAAAUGACACAAAAAUUGACACACACAUGUAACUCAAUAAGAUCUACAAAAAAGUCCAUGCGUGCGUAUCUGUCAAAUGUACAGUUAAAGGGUUAUUCCCUAUUUUUUGCAGAUACGCACACAUUGGAAUUUCGCUAACUCCUCCGAAGGCUUUCGUUCCACCGGCACCACAUUUGCUCAGGCCAAUCUACACCCCAUGGCCAUUAAAAGUUAUUCAAAUCAUGAUGCUGCACCCCAUGGUUUAGGUUCUAGGGGGCGCCAAAAAUAACCCAAAAAUCCACAUUCUUAAAUGUUUUAUAACUUUUUAUUUUUGUCCUCACUGGCCUCCAAGUUUUCUAGGAUGAUGCAAUGUCCAGCCAUCAACACAUUUGUGAAGGAAUUUUUACUCCCCAAAAGAGCGCCCCCCCAUGGUAGGAGAAAAAAGUCAAUUUUUUCUUGUCCCCUUACAUAAAAAUACACAUUGUUGAGUGUCACGCCUGAACGCUUUGUCAUAUUGACACAAAAAUUGACAAUCAUGUGUAUCUCAAUUAGAUCUACGAAAAAGUCAAAAAGCGCGUAUCUGUAUAAUGUACGGUUAAAGGGCUAUUUUGCAUUUUUUGCCGAUUCGCACACAUUGGAAUGUGGCUAUCUCCUCCUAAGGCUUUCGUCCCACCGAUACCAAAUUUGCUCAGGGCAAUCUACACCCCAUGCCCAUUCAAAGUUGUAAAAAUCAUGACGCUGCACCCCACGGUUUACGUUCUAGGGGGCGCCAAAGAUGACCCAAAAAUCCACAUUCUUAAAAGUCAUUUUGGCCACUGCAGGAGUACAGAGUACUGCAGUUCUAGGGGGCGCCAAAGAUGACCCAAAAAUCCACAUUCUUAAAAGUCUUUUUGGCCACUGCAGGAGUACAGAGUACUGCAGGAUACACACACAUAUACACACACGCCAACAUACACACACACACACACACACACACACACACACACACAGACACACACACACACUCAGAGUCUGUUUUUUAGCACCUGCAAAAACAUGCUGUUUACAUAUUUGACAAGAAUGCAGAGGCUUCCUUUUGCCCCUGAAAAAAAUCAAAUUUCAAACACAACUUGACUGUUCAUUUCUCCAAAAGACAACCAUGAAGCUCCAUUUCAAACCUGAAGCAGAUAGUUGGUGCAUGUGUACAGUAACCUGAGGGGAGUGAGGUGACUAUUUCUGAGGAGAACAUGAGCAGUGAAGAUUCACCUUGGAGCUAGAACAGGGACGUGCACAUGAUUAUACAGGGGCAGGGGCUCAAGUUUUUUCCAGUCAUUUAUACAAUAUGGAAAUUAAUGUGAAAUUAAACCACAAAUAUGUGUGAUGAACUGUUUUUAAAACUUAAACUUCAAAUAAAAAUUGUAAACUUCAAAACAUAUGCAAAUUUUUAACAAAGAACAUAGUAAUUUACCUCUAUUUACAUCAAAAUGCAGGCAAUGGCCCAGGCGUUCUUUGUAAAAUUAUUUACAAAACACUGUAUAGUCUCACAAAUGUCACUUUUUAUUUAUGCCACUACAAAAAAACAUGAUGUAAAUGAUGCAUGAUGUAAAACAUGAUGUAAAAAACUUGUGUAGAUCCUCCUCUAUGUCAGUCCAUGUGUAAUUUUUCCAUAAUUCUUUGUUUUUUGCAGCAUUUUUGUUAGUGUAACUGCAGAUUGUGCUGACAGUGUCUAUGGCACAAAAAAAAAAAAAAUUAAAAUGCCUCAACAUGAACCCCUGGUGGUCUCUGAGGGUGAAACCUGCUAACUGCUGCAGCUCUGUCAGCUUCAGUCUCCCAUGCAGAGCUCUGAGCGCAUGUGUGGCUCUGCACCCUUAGCAGCGUUGCUAACUCCUCAGUAAGGAAAGCCUGCUUCAUGUCAGAGUCUCUAAACUCCAGAAGAAGUCGAUAAAAGUCCCUUUCUUUCUAAAAAAAAGUCGUUAGGGGGUCUGAAAAGUCAUUGAAUCUAACAACAAAGUCGCUAGGUUUGCAACUACGUGUCCCAGACUGCAUCCCUGCUGAGAGUCCCUCCCUCCCUUCUCAUGUUGCAGGAAGAACGUAAGCGCCCGCCCCUUGUCAAUCAGUCACCAUAUAAUUUUGGAUUGGUUGUUGUGGUGAAGUUUUCCACCAAUAGGAGAGAUGUUGUGGUGUGUUUUUUUUUUUCUUUUGGCAAGCCUUUUCCGCCUGUAAGACCUGUCGCUAAUGUCUGCAUGCUAUGUUUUCCUGUCUCAUACAGCGCGAUCGAGCGCCGAACGUGAUCAAAAUAAGCAGAAAAAAAGUAUCGCGGACAUAAUUUAUCAUAACUCUGGUUUUAUUUGGCCUAUCAACACAAUUUAGAAACUGGUAUAUAGGUUGAGGUCCUCACUUUUGAGAUAAGUUGAAACGGAGAGUCAACGAGGCUCCGUCUUGCAGCUACAUCCGAUUAAAUAUGUCAUGUGACUUGAACGCACACACAGACACACACACACGCACACACACACACACACACACACACACACACACACACACACACACACACACACACUCAGAGUCUGGUUUUUAGCACCUGCAAAAACAUGCUAUUUACAUAUUUGACAAGAAUGCAGAGGCUCCUUUUGCCCCUGAAAAAAAUCAAAUUUCACAAUUUUCACAACACAACUUGACUGGUCAUUUCUCCAAAAGACAACCAUGAAGCUCCAUCCAAACCUGAAGCAGGCAGUUGGUGCAUGUGUACAGUAACCUGAGGGGAGUGAGGUGACUGCUUCUGAGGAGAACAUGAGCAGUCAAGAUUCACCUUGGAGCUAGAACAGAGACAUGCACAUGAUUAUACAGGGGCAGGGGCUCAAGUUUUUUCCAGUCGUUUAUACAAUAUGGAAAUUAAUGUGAAAUUAAAACACAAAGUAUUGAUAGAAAGGUAAUGACUGUCCUGUGUAGGUGACAGUGAUAUCCAAUAGGCUAGGCACUCACGAGGCUGGCUGUGGCAAGUGUAAGUGAAAGCAACACGCACUGGCAGGAAGAACAGCAAACGCCGAUGAAGGAAAAGGGUCUUUGCAGUGAUGGGCGUUACCAGAGAGGGCGAUGGCCAGAGGACACAAAUGGGACGGGGAGGCAGCACGUUGGGGGGGGGGGGGGGGGACGCGACACGGCUCGGGCCCGCCAGUGCCCCAACGGGGUCCUAGUUCUUUCUUUCUUUCUUCUUUUUCCUCCCCUUUGAACUGGAAAAUGGCCCACUUCCCACUGGCGAAAACUCAUGAAAUUUGGCAGGACGACCGGGCCUGGUGAAAAAUUGAUAUUCUGAAGUCGCCCAAACAAUAAAAUGCAAAAUGGCUCCAUAGCGCCCCCUAAGGUGGAAAUUCACACUAUUGACUGUCACGCGUGUACGCUUUGUCAAAAUGACACAAAAAUUGACACACAUAUGGAUCUCAAUAAGAUCUACAAAAAAGUCAGUGCGGCCGUAUCUGUCAAAAUUACGGUUAAAGGGUUAUUUCGCAUUUUUUGCCGAUCCGCACACAUUGGAAUUUCGCUAACUCCUCCGAAGGCUUUCGUUCCACCGGCACCACAUUUGCUCAGGCCAAUCUACACCCCGUUGCCAUUAAAAGUUAUCAAAAUCAUGACGCUGCACCCCAAGGUUUAGGUUCUAGGGGGCGCCAAAGAUAACACUAAAAUCCACAUAUUUAAAAGUCUUAUAACUUUUUAUUUUUGUCCUCACUGGCCUCCAAGUUUUCUAGGAUGAUGCAAUGUCCAGCCAUCAACACAUUUGUGAAGGAAUUUUUACUCCCCAAAAGAGCGCCCCCCCAUGGCAGGAGAAAAAAGUCCAUUUUUUCUUGUCCCCUAAGGUGAAAAUACACAUUGUUGAGUGUCACGCCUAUACGCUUUGUCAAAAUGACACAAAAAUUGACACACACAUGUAACUCAAUAAGAUCUACAAAAAAGUCCAUGCGCGCGUAUCUGUCAAAUGUACAGUUAAAGGGUUAUUCCGCAUUUUUUGCCGAUAUGCACACAUUGGAAUUUCGCUAACUCCUCCGAAGGCUUUCGUUCCACCGGCACCACAUUUGCUCAGGCCAAUCUACACCCCAUGGCCAUUAAAAGUUAUUCAAAUCAUGAUGCUGCACCCCAUGGUUUAGGUUCUAGGGGGCGCCAAAAAUAACCCAAAAAUCCACAUUCUUAAAUGUUUUAUAACUUUUUAUUUUUGUCCUCACUGGCCUCCAAGUUUUCUAGGAUGAUGCAAUGUCCAGCCAUCAACACAUUUGUGAAGGAAUUUUUACUCCCCAAAAGAGCGCCCCCCCAUGGUAGGAGAAAAAAGUCAAUUUUUUCUUGUCCCCUUACAUAAAAAUACACAUUGUUGAGUGUCACGCCUGAACGCUUUGUCAUAUUGACACAAAAAUUGACAAUCAUGUGUAUCUCAAUUAGAUCUACGAAAAAGUCAAAGAGCGCGUAUCUGUAUAAUGUACGGUUAAAGGGCUAUUUUGCAUUUUUUGCCGAUUCGCACACAUUGGAAUGUGGCUAUCUCCUCCUAAGGCUUUCGUCCCACCGAUACCAAAUUUGCUCAGGGCAAUCUACACCCCAUGCCCAUUCAAAGUUGUAAAAAUCAUGACGCUGCACCCCACGGUUUACAUUCUAGGGGGCGCCAAAAAUGACCCAAAAAUCCACAUUCUUAAAAGUCAUUUUGGCCACUGCAGGAGUACAGAGUACUGCAGUUCUAGGGGGCGCCAAAGAUGACCCAAAAAUCCACAUUCUUAAAAGUCUUUUUGGCCACUGCAGGAGUACAGAGUACUGCAGGAUACACACACAUAUACACACACGCCAACAUACACACACACACACACACACACACACACACACACACAGACACACACACACACUCAGAGUCUGUUUUUUAGCACCUGCAAAAACAUGCUGUUUACAUAUUUGACAAGAAUGCAGAGGCUUCCUUUUGCCCCUGAAAAAAAUCAAAUUUCAAACACAACUUGACUGUUCAUUUCUCCAAAAGACAACCAUGAAGCUCCAUUUCAAACCUGAAGCAGAUAGUUGGUGCAUGUGUACAGUAACCUGAGGGGAGUGAGGUGACUAUUUCUGAGGAGAACAUGAGCAGUGAAGAUUCACCUUGGAGCUAGAACAGGGACGUGCACAUGAUUAUACAGGGGCAGGGGCUCAAGUUUUUUCCAGUCAUUUAUACAAUAUGGAAAUUAAUGUGAAAUUAAACCACAAAUAUGUGUGAUGAACUGUUUUUAAAACUUAAACUUCAAAUAAAAAUUGUAAACUUCAAAACAUAUGCAAAUUUUUAACAAAGAACAUAGUGAUUUACCUCUAUUUACAUCAAAAUGCAGGCAAUGGCCCAGGCGUUCUUUGUAAAAUUAUUUACAAAACACUGUAUAGUCUCACAAAUGUCACUUUUUAUUUAUGCCACUACAAAAAAACAUGAUGUAAAUGAUGCAUGAUGUAAAACAUGAUGUAAAAAACUUGUGUAGAUCCUCCUCUAUGUCAGUCCAUGUGUAAUUUUUCCAUAAUUCUUUGUUUUUUGCAGCAUUUUUGUUAGUGUAACUGCAGAUUGUGCUGACAGUGUCUAUGGCACAAAAAAAAAAAAAAUUAAAAUGCCUCAACAUGAACCCCUGGUGGUCUCUGAGGGUGAAACCUGCUAACUGCUGCAGCUCUGUCAGCUUCAGUCUCCCAUGCAGAGCUCUGAGCGCAUGUGUGGCUCUGCACCCUUAGCAGCGUUGCUAACUCCUCAGUAAGGAAAGCCUGCUUCAUGUCAGAGUCUCUAAACUCCAGAAGAAGUCGAUAAAAGUCCCUUUCUUUCUAAAAAAGUCGUUAGGGUGUCUGAAAAGUCAUUGAAUCUAACAACAAAGUCGCUAGGUUUGCAACUACGUGUCCCAGACUGCAUCCCUGCUGAGAGUCCCUCCCUCCCUUCUCAUGUUGCAGGAAGAACGUAAGCGCCCGCCCCUUGUCAAUCAGUCACCAUAUAAUUUUGGAUUGGUUGUUGUGGUGAAGUUUUCCACCAAUAGGAGAGAUGUUGUGGUGUGUUUUUUUUUUCUUUUGGCAAGCCUUUUCCGCCUGUAAGACCUGUCGCUAAUGUCUGCAUGCUAUGUUUUCCUGUCUCAUACAGCGCGAUCGAGCGCCGAACGUGAUCAAAAUAAGCAGAAAAAAAGUAUCGCGGACAUAAUUUAUCAUAACUCUGGUUUUAUUUGGCCUAUCAACACAAUUUAAAAACUGGUAUAUAGGUUGAGGUCCUCACUUUUGAGAUAAGUUGAAACGGAGAGUCAACGAGGCUCCGUCUUGCAGCUACAUCCGGUUAAAUAUGUCAUGUGACUUGAACGCUGGGACACAUAAUCAAACCUAACCUCAGACACACACACACGCACACACACACACACACACACACACACACACACACACACACACACACACACACACUCAGAGUCUGGUUUUUAGCACCUGCAAAAACAUGCUAUUUACAUAUUUGACAAGAAUGCAGAGGCUCCUUUUGCCCCUGAAAAAAAUCAAAUUUCAAACACAACUUGACUGGUCAUUUCUCCAAAAGACAACCAUGAAGCUCCAUCCAAACCUGAAGCAGGCAGUUGGUGCAUGUGUACAGUAACCUGAGGGGAGUGAGGUGAGUGCUUCUGAGGAGAACAUGAGCAGUGAAGAUUCACCUUGGAGCUAGAACAGAGACAUGCACAUGAUUAUACAGGGGCAGGGGCUCAAGUUUUUUCCAGUCGUUUAUACAAUAUGGAAAUUAAUGUGAAAUUAAAACACAAAGUAUUAAUAGAAAGGUAAUGACUGUCCUGUGUAGGUGACAGUGAUAUCCAAUAGGCUAGGCACUCACGAGGCUGGCUGUGGCAAGUGUAAGUGAAAGCAACAUGCACUGGCAGGAAGAACAGCAAACGCCGAUGAAGGAAAAGGGUCUUUGCAGUGAUGGGCGUUAACAGAGAGGGCGAUGGCCAGAGGACACAAAUGGGACGGGGAGGCAGCACGUUGGGGGGGGGGGAGACGCGACACGGCUCGGGCCCGCCAGUGCCCCAACGGGGUCCUAGUUAUUAUUAUUAUUUUUCCUCCGCUUUAAACUGGAAAAUGGCCCACUUCCCACUGGCGAAAACUCAUGAAAUUUGGCAGGACGACCGGGCCUGGUGAAAAAUUCGAUAUUCUGAAGUCGCCCAAACAAUAAAAUGCAAAAUGGCUCCA